AGGCUUGAUGAGACCCACAGAGAGCAGGUUAGGCUCCUGUGGCAGAGGGCUCUAAAAAAGGCCCUGUAAGGAAAAAGGAAGGUCCUUGAGGAAAGCUGCUAGAGUCCCUAACAUGGGGAAGUACAAUAGAACCUCAGGGAUAUGAACACCAGAGUUAUGAACUAACUGGUCAGCCACACACCUCAUUCUGAACUGGAAGUAUGCAAUGAGGCAGCAGAGACCAAAAAGAAAGAAAAAAAAGGCUGUACAGUACAGUGCUGUGUUAAAUUUAAACUACUAAAAAAAAGGUUAAGUUUAAAAAAAAUAUUUGACAAGAUGGACUUUUUGUUAUCCUGGCAGAGGAUUGAACCUUAAGGUGACCUGGCCCGAGGGUGAAGCCAUGGAAAACUCAAACACACACCGGCUAAUGGGGCCAUGGAAAUGGCUACUCAGAGUACAAGAGGUGAAGUUUCCUGCAACAGCACAACCUGAUGCCAGAGACACUGCAGCAGAAAACAUCUGCAGGCUUCUCUCAGUUCUGAAACAUUACUGAAAAUCUGCAACACUACAAUGCAAAAAUAUAUGUUCCAGAGCCAAACAAGGACAAGGCUGGCUUCUGAAUUGGUUAAUGUUAAAGGAAUUUGCAAACCAAUUUGUGACUCAUGGGAUUAAAUACGGAACAACUGCUCCCACAAAACUGAUCUAAGGUAGUAAAAACAAUGCAAACUUCUCUAUAUAGUACCACCACUAGCUUAGUUUAGACAGCAUACAAGAACAGAUGUAUCCCAUUUCACACUGUAUCUUCAUUGUGAGUUUGUCCAAAAAGUUGUGGAGGGGAGGGGGGAGUUAAAAGAAAAAAAAAAAACACCAAAAAAUUAGAGCUAGUCACUGAAUUUAAUGAAAUAUUUUCACAGUUCACCUAUUAGGCUAGGCCGUAAGAUUAGCUGUAACAACCAUGCUAGGUGAAACAUAAGUACAAAUCUUUGUGGGAAAUAAAUCUAUGUUGAGCCUGUUUCCAUUACAUACAUUUUUAGACACUUAGACCACCCGCAUGCAUUCUGCAAAUGCUAGUCUCUUGCAGGUGCUGAACUAACUCCUAUUUUCAUCAGAACCAGUGAUUCAUUACAUAAAGCUCUAUUGUAUCACAUGACAAAAAUAAAUAACUUUUAAUGCAGUAUGAUGAGCCUUUUUAUUUUUAAGGUAAUUGGGAACAGACUAACGUUGCAUGUUUCUUAACUAGACACCGAAAUUGUCUUCACAUUUAUACCUUUGGCUUAAUAAAGAAUCCAUUUU